GGGAGUGUAUGGGGCACUGGUGUCCCCCCCGGACUUCAAAUCCGAUGUUGCCUGCCAAAAUCGGGCAGGGUGGGUUCGAUUCCCACACGCUCCC
rfam:Candidatus Magnetobacterium bavaricum SAG4843, whole genome shotgun sequence.